rnacentral:rRNA from 1 species
AUUGAACGCUGGCGGCAGGCCUAACACAUGCAAGUCGAGCGGAUGAAGGGAGCUUGCUCCUGGAUUCAGCGGCGGACGGGUGAGUAAUGCCUAGGAAUCUGCCUGGUAGUGGGGGAUAACGUCCGGAAACGGGCGCUAAUACCGCAUACGUCCUGAGGGAGAAAGUGGGGGAUCUUCGGACCUCACGCUAUCAGAUGAGCCUAGGUCGGAUUAGCUAGUUGGUGGGGUAAAGGCCUACCAAGGCGACGAUCCGUAACUGGUCUGAGAGGAUGAUCAGUCACACUGGAACUGAGACACGGUCCAGACUCCUACGGGAGGCAGCAGUGGGGAAUAUUGGACAAUGGGCGAAAGCCUGAUCUAGCCAUGCCGCGUGUGUGAAGAAGGUCUUCGGAUUGUAAAGCACUUUAAGUUGGGAGGAAGGGCAGUGAGUUAAUACCUUGCUGUUUUGACGUUACCAACAGAAUAAGCACCGGCUAACUUCGUG